rnacentral:rRNA from 1 species
CGCGUAGGCGGUCUCUUAAGUCAGAUGUGAAAGCCCGAGGCUUAACCUCGGAAGUGCAUUUGAAACUAAGGGACUUGAGUAUGGGAGAGGGAAGUGGAAUUCCUGGUGUAGCGGUGAAAUGCGUAGAUAUCAGGAGGAACACCGGUGGCGAAGGCGACUUCCUGGACCAAUACUGACGCUGAGGCGCAAAGGCGUGGGGAGCAAACAGGAUUAGAUACCCUGGUAGUCC